UGAAACUUCUUUAGAAAGGGCCUGCUUUAGGCUCAUUCUAGGACGUUUUA
rnacentral:pre_miRNA from 1 species